rnacentral:rRNA from 1 species
GUGAACGCUGGCGGCGUGGAUGAGGCAUGCAAGUCGAAUGGGUUUAGACCCAUGGCAGACGAGGUAGGAACACGUAGGUACAUACCCCAAAGUCAGGGAUAACCCGGAGAAAUCCGGAAUAACACUUGAUGGUCUCGAAAGAGUAAAGAUUUAUCGCUUUGGGAAUGGCCUGCGUUCUAUCAGCUUGUUGGUAAGGUAACGGCUUACCAAGGCUACGACGGAUAGGGGAGGUGAGAGCCUGACCCCCACCGAUGGAACUGCGACACGGUCCAUACUCCUACGGGAGGCUGCAGUCGAGAAUCUUCCGCAAUGGACGAAAGUCUGACGGAGCGACGCCGCGUGAUCGAUGAAGUCCUUAGGGACGUAAAGAUCUUUUAUGAAGGAAGAAGUUUAUUGACAUUACUUCAUGAAUAAGGGGCUCCCAAUUCUGU